AGGACGAACGCUGGCGGCGUGCUUAACACAUGCAAGUUUCGAGCGGAAAGGCCCUUCGGGGUACUCGAGCGGCGAACGGGUGAGUAACACGUGAGCAACCUGCCCUUAGCUCUGGGAUAGCUCCGGGAAACCGGAAUUAAUACCGGAUACGACCUAGGCCGACAUCGGCCAUGGUGGAAAGUUUUUCGGCUAGGGAUGGACUCGCGGCCUAUCAGCUAGUUGGUGGGGUAAAGGCCUACCAAGGCGACGACGGGUAG
rnacentral:rRNA from 1 species